rnacentral:piRNA from 1 species
CAGCUGGGGGAUUAGCUCAAAUGGUAGAGC